GAAGAGUUAUCCUGGCAAUAAGAGCUAAAUCUUCUUAAUAGCCUACGUAAUCCUACUUGUGUGUAUGAUAAUAAAAUCAUAUCAUCAGCAUAAAGCAAGCUGUUACAGUAAGUAUUUAAGAUCAUUGGCUUAUGUACCAUGGUAUCCUUCAUUAACCCUGGCAAGUCAUUGAUGUAUAAAUUAAAUAAUCAU